UACAACCAUAUCAUGUUGAAUUACCAGUUUCUGUAUGAUCACUGAAGUUAAGCAACAUCAAGCCUGGUCAGUACUUAGAUGGGUGACUGCUUGGGAAUACCAGGUGUUGUAA